AUACGGAGGGUCCGAGCGUUAAUCGGAAUUACUGGGCGUAAAGCGCGCGUAGGCGGCGAUAUAAGUCAGAUGUGAAAUCCCUGGGCUCAACCUAGGAACUGCAUUUGAAACUGUAUGGCUAGAGUAUGGUAGAGGUGAGUGGAAUUUCAGGUGUAGCGGUGAAAUGCGUAGAGAUCUGAAGGAACAUCAGUGGCGAAGGCGACUCACUGGGCCAUUACUGACGCUGAGGUGCGAAAGCGUGGGUAGCAAACAGGAUUAGAAACCCCAGUAGUCC
rnacentral:rRNA from 1 species